UGCCUGUCCCCCCUCCUCCCUUUCCUUUCAACCUUAGUUUGUUUAACUUUCUCUUACCUCCUGAGAUUGCAGUCGGACGCUUCUGUACACAGUCAGACUACGUUUCCCAGGGUGAUGUCACGUAUUACCUGCAGUAUUAUAAAGUGUAACACUCUUUCAUAACUGUCCUAUUUAUGUUUAUGUUGACAGGCAUGCUACUAGAGUGUGUUGGUAUUAGACGGAAACUUGAUGUACGCUGGUUUAAGAUUGUGUCCUGACUUUUUCCCUAUAUACUGCAAAUGAUACUGAUCUGUCUGUGUGCAAUUAUAUGAUUGUAUCUCUAUUUUUAUACAAUAAACUUGUUUCUGAUUUAAAAAAAAAAAAA